AAUGUGUGCUGGAAGGUGUCCAGGAAGCCCUGCUAAGCAUCUGUCAGUGUCUCCAGCACAGCAGGAGGCUGUUACAGGUGGCGCCUGAUUCACAUCUGCAGGACAGGCCCAGUUCAAUCUGCUGAGCAGCACCAUGGACCAGAUGAGCAGCCGCGCGGCCUCGGCCAGCCCCUACACCCCAGAGCACGCCGCCAGCGUGCCCACCCACUCGCCCUACGCACAACCCAGCUCCACCUUCGACACCAUGUCGCCGGCGCCUGUCAUCCCCUCCAACACCGACUACCCCGGACCCCACCACUUUGAGGUCACUUUCCAGCAGUCCAGCACGGCCAAGUCAGCCACCUGGACGGUGAGUUCCCCUAGUCCCUGAGGGCUGCGGGCUGCGGGCUGCGGGCUGGAGAGGAGGUGGCUGCGUUCCCCGCACCUCAAGAGGUCUGAGCUCGCCCCACUGUCUGCUCGGGGUUCCCACCUGGCCCGGGCCAGGAGGAGCAUCGGGCAGGAGGCGGGUCUCAGGGCCGGGCAGUCUGGGUGUGCCCACCCCUCUAGACGUGAGUGGCCAGAGCCAGUCAGCCUCCAAAGGGCCACAGAGGGGACGGACUUGGCCCUGCUGGUGAGAUCUCUGCCAAGACUGGCCAGCGGCUUCCCCAUGCUCAGGUGGGAUCUUUGGUUUGAAAUCCUGUCCUGGACAGAGGCACGGGCUCUGCUGCCAAGAGUUGUCUGUCCGAGACAGGCCCACAGCCCUAGGGUCUGCAGAACCUGCCUCCUCCAGGCAGCGAGACGCAUCUGCGGGUGGGUGGAUUUGGGCUUUGCUGGCACUGUCUCUGGAGUGUCAUUUCCAGGAAUUGGCAUGCACCAAGGAGAUGGGGUGGAACCACCGUGCCAAGGGCUCAGGUCCUCACUGCGGUGCCCCUGGAGACAGACUGGCCCACGGUGGGGAUCUUGCUAAUUCUGAUAACAUCACCUGUGCACAAGGCCAGUCUCCUCGAGCCAGGCACCAUGCUCAGGGCUUUGAGUUGAGCUAACUCUUGCACCCACCAACAACGCACAGGGCUGACUCCAUCACUGCUCCCCUUUUACAGCCAAGGAGGCUGA
rnacentral:lncRNA from 1 species